CGGAGGGAGCUAGCGUUGUUCGGAAUUACUGGGCGUAAAGCGUACGUAGGCGGUUAUUCAAGUCAGAGGUGAAAGCCCGGGGCUCAACCCCGGAACGGCCUUUGAAACUAGAUAGCUAGAAUCUUGGAGAGGUCAGUGGAAUUCCGAGUGUAGAGGUGAAAUUCGUAGAUAUUCGGAAGAACACCAGUGGCGAAGGCGACUGACUGGACAAGUAUUGACGCUGAGGUACGAAAGCGUGGGGAGCAAACAGGAUUAGAUACCCUGGUAGUCCACGCCGUAAACGAUGAUAACUAGCUGUCCGGGCACUUGGUGCUUGGGUGGCGCAGCUAACGCAUUAAGUUAUCCGCCUGGGGAGUACGGUCGCAAGAUUA
rnacentral:rRNA from 1 species